GCAAUGAAAGUAUUUUCCAAAAUUAAUCACUUUUCCUAAAAAUGACUUAAUCAAAUCGGUUUCCUAGAAAUAUACAUGACGUUAAGGUGUGGCAAUGGCGGUGUGCAUGUCUAGGAUUGGAUCCGAAGGGAGCUUGGUACUUAAGUAGUCCGAUAGACUCACCUCCUUUUUUCCGGUUUCCUACUUGGUGCACAGCUUCCAUUCACUUUAACCUAUAAUGAAAUUAUCUUUUAAAACACUAAGUAGGUUUUUCUGGAUCAACAAUAUAAAAUGUUUUGAACGCUUCGAUGUGGC
rnacentral:lncRNA from 1 species